GAGUUAAAACUAUAUAUUUGUUAAUGGCAUGUAUAGUGAUUUCCAAUAUGUGCUCCUAAUUGAUUAAGUCGGGAGGGAAGAUGAAUUCUCCAAAUGUUCUGGUAGAAUAAUGAGCUCAUCUUAAUUAAGUAGACAUGUCUGCAAAUUCUAUACAUCUCCCUUAGAGGCAUACUUGUAAUUGUCUCUUUACUUUUGACAGUCUUGUCUUUAGUUAUGUAUUUUCUCAUUUUAUUCUUGGGUAAUUGUUUGUAUUUGGGAGAACACCUCAUUUCUUGCUGUUGCAAGCAUGAUUUUUCCACCAUCACCUUCUCUCAACUGGAAGCAUCUAUGUUGUGGGCUCUUGGAGCUUUGAAAUGGCACCGAAAAAAAAAAAAAAAAUCAAAUAUUUGUAAUGAAAUUCAUAACCCCACAGAAGGGUACUUUUCAUAGGAAGGUCCUUGUGUAGUAGUGGAACUUAGAUUUCUUUAUGAUUUUUGGUUUUGACUAUGUGCUAUGUAGAGAAAAAAUCUUCAUCCGAAGACAUGAAGGGAGCUUCUGUUGGUACUAAAUCCGAUCCACGCAUCCAAAGAACCAAGCACAUGCUGCAUGAGAUGGAAAAGUCUCAAACUGAGUUGUGGGUGAGAUUGGUUCCUUACAAACCCAAUGUUAAUUCGGGGGAGCUUCAAACACUAUCCAUUAGUUCUACUACAAUUUGAUCUUCAUAUGGAAAUGGCUCUAUCCACUUCUUCAGUUACUGUACAUUGCAGAUAACAAUCUUGAGAACAACCCAUGGCAUGGAUUUGAUGAGUGGUCACUCGAGAUAAAAACCAAUGUGCCUGAAUGAAGUUCUGAAAAUGAUGAAGUGAACAAGCUUAUCAGUUCAACCCCGGGUGAAAGGGAGAGAGAUAUAAUACGCCUUUACUAUGUCCUGGAUAAAGAAUCCCAUACAUGGGAAGACAUUAGUAGACAAGCUGAAGGCGAGUGGUGACCUCACCAAGGAUGUAGAGCUAAAGGGCGUGUUCUUAGCCAUUGGUUAGAGUGAGAGGCUACGGAAGCUAUUGAUGUCUAUUGGUUGAAAUUUAAGUUUAUUCAGUUGGAAUGCUGAAGUUUAAAGAAUUAGCAGAGGCUUCUAUUAUGGUUCUCAGAUGUCGAAGAGCAUCAAAGCAUGCUUGCCCUAUUGCCGACUGGUCUCAUCUUCUGUUUUGUGGUUGUGAUUUGCUGAGGAGAUGUUGCAGCUACUUUCAGUCCCCAACUAAUGUACGAUUAUGCCUCUUUGGCUAUAUCAGGCUAUCUGGCUGCAUAGAAAGUUGUAUUGCUAUAAACAUUUGUAGCAUGGAAAAUGGACAUUCAUGUGCAUUUGUAGUCUGAAAUCAUUAAAUAGACCGUUUAACUAUUUUAUUGGCAUUGUGUUGAUUAUUGUCUUAAUGAAUGUUAAAUGGGUGAAACAUGCACGCACAUGUUUAAUCAUUGAUUGAUUAUGAUAUUUUUAAACAAUCGUGUGAAUUAUUUUUUGAAUGACUAUCAGGUGUAUGAUUAA